AGCGGCGGACGGGUGAGUAACGCGUGGGUAACCUGCCUCAUACAGGGGGAUAACAGUUGGAAACGGCUGCUAAUACCACAUAAGCGCACAGUACCGCAUGGUACCGUGUGAAAAACUCCGGUGGUAUGAGAUGGACCCGCGUCUGAUUAGGUAGUUGGUGGGGUAACGGCCUACCAAGCCGACGAUCAGUAGCCGACCUGAGAGGGUGACCGGCCACAUUGGGACUGAGACAUGGCCCAA
rnacentral:rRNA from 1 species